rnacentral:tRNA from 1 species
UCCCUGGUGAUCCAGUAGUUAGGACUCAGCACUUCCACUGCCAAGGGCCCAGGUUCAAUACCUGGUUGGGGAA